rnacentral:rRNA from 1 species
UACGUAGGGGCAAGCGUUGUCCGGAAUCAUUGGGCGUAAAGAGCGCGUAGGCGGUCCGGUAAGUCCGCUCUGAAAGUCCGGGGCUCAACCCCGGGAGGCGGGCGGAUACUGUCGGGCUAGAGUCCGGAAGUAGGCGAGUGGAAUUCCUGGUGUAGCGGUGAAAUGGCGCAGAUAAUCAGGAGAACACCAUGGCGAAGGCAGCUC